rnacentral:rRNA from 1 species
UGGGGAAUUUUGGACAAUGGGCGCAAGCCUGAUCCAGCAAUGCCGCGUGAGUGAAGAAGGCCUUCGGGUUGUAAAGCUCUUUUGUCAGGGAAGAAACGGUGAGUCCUAAUACGGCUUGCUAAUGACGGUACCUGAAGAAUAAGCACCGGCUAACUACGUGCCAGCAGCCGCGGUAAUACGUAGGGUGCAAGCGUUAAUCGGAAUUACUGGGCGUAAAGCGUGCGCAGGCGGUUAUAUAAGUCAGAUGUGAAAUCCCCGGGCUCAACCUGGGAACUGCAUUUGAGACUGUAUGGCUAGAGUGUGUCAGAGGGGGGUAGAAUUCCACGUGUAGCAGUGAAAUGCGUAGAUAUGUGGAGGAAUACCGAUGGCGAAGGCAGCCCCCUGGGAUAACACUGACGCUCAUGCACGAAAGCGUGGGGAGCAAACAGGAUUAGAUACCCUGGUAGUCCACGCCCUAAACGAUGUCUACUAGUUGUCGGGACUUAAUUGUCUUGGUAACGCAGCUAACGCGUGAAGUAGACCGCCUGGGGAGUACGGUCGCAAGAUUA